rnacentral:tRNA from 1 species
AUAGUAGCUCAGUUGGUAGAGCACAAGCUUCCCAAGCUUGGGGUCGCGGGUUCGAACCCCGUCUGU